rnacentral:rRNA from 1 species
AGCUACAGCCAUGCUACCCUGAACAUGCCCGAUCCCAUCUGAUCUCGGAAGCAAAGCAGGUUCGGGCCUGGUUAGUACUUGGAUGGGAGAACACCUUGGAAGACCAGGUUCUGUAGGCG